rnacentral:rRNA from 1 species
UACGUAGGCGGAAGAUUAAGUCAGUGGUGAAAUCCCGCAGCUCAACUGUGGAACUGUUAUUGAUACUGGUUUUCUUGAAUAUAGUUGAGGUAGGCGGAAUGUGUAAUGUAGCGGUGAAAUGCUUAGAUAUUACACAGAACACCGAUUGCGAAGGCAGCUUACUAAGCUAUGAUUGACGCUGAGGUACGAAAGCGUGGGGAGCGAACAGGAUUAGAUACCCUGGUAGUCC